rnacentral:rRNA from 1 species
AGGGUUUGAUUCUGGCUCAGGAUGAACGCUGGCGGCGUGCCUAACACAUGCAAGUCGAACGAAGAUGCAUUUCAGAUCCCUUCGGGGUGACGAGAUGCAGACUUAGUGGCGGACGGGUGAGUAAUGUAUGAGCAACCUGCCUUCAAGAGGGGAAUAACAGUCGGAAACGACUGCUAAUACCGCAUAACAAAGCGUAGUCGCAUGACAAUGCUUUCAAAGGAGCAAUCCGCUUGAAGAUGGGCUCAUAUCUGAUUAGAUAGUUGGUGAGGUAACGGCUCACCAAGUCUGCGAUCAGUAGCCGGACUGAGAGGUUGAACGGCCACAUUGGAACUGAGAUACGGUCCAG